AAAAAAAAAAAAUCCAUUGUUCUAAAUAAAUAGGUUAAAGUUGAGCCUCUUGUAGUUUAGGUUCCUUGCUUCCAAUUUGCUCCAAUUGAAGUUAAAAAUCUAUGCAGCCGAGCAACUUAUAGCUCGGUGAGUAAGAUCAAAGGAAAAAUCAAAAGUUGUGUGAUCCAGAGAUCGUCCAAUUUUGACUUGACCAGUUAACAACCCACCUAAAUCCAGGCCCAU
rnacentral:lncRNA from 1 species